rnacentral:lncRNA from 1 species
AUUGUGCCUGUGAGGUAGGAAACCAGAAAUAGUCAGUGAACAUGUGAAUGACUGUUCACUUCCCCACUCCAGGGCCUGCGACCUUGCUGUUCUCUCAUCUUGGUAUGAUGUUCCUUCACCUCUGCACAGAGCUGGCUCCUUUUCAUCCUUUGGUUCUAGAAUUUCCCUUAGAGAACUUCUGUGACUAAUAGCAUUCUUCAAGUGGGAGAGAGCUAAUAAAGAUAGCUGUAACCGACCUGUAUGGUGACUGGAAUAAUAUUCAACAGGGUAACCAGCCUGAAGGUAUCAGGUGAGUCAAUCAAUAUAUAAAACUUAACUGAGUUGUUGUCACCCUGAAUAGUAGAAUUGAGUUCAUGUAAUCCUAAGUAAAAUGGUUAAACCCAUUGGGACUUAUAAUUGCAAAAGAUCUCUCAAUUUUAAAUAGGAAGGCUGCAGAUUUUUUUUUUUGCCUCGUAAUAACUCAUAUUUUUAUAGUACUUCUCAAUUUCCAAAGCACGUUUGUGUGCAUUGUUUCAAUGGAGCAUUAUGACAGCUAAUAAGUCUCUGUGUGGUAUAGCUAAGGACCCCAAAGCCCAGAAAGGUCAAAUGAUUAGCAUAAGGAUGCACAGCCAAUACUUGGAAGAAGCAAGAUUGCUAUUAGAGAUCUUAAGUCAACAUAACUUAGCUUUUCCCAGAAUGAAACAGUGUCUCUCCCUGAGAGUGAAAGUUAUCAGUUACCAUCCAGCCCGUUCACUUGUAUUAGAUGGAGACAAAGUCUCCCUGAAAGGAUCAGUAGAAGUAUAGUUGUUGACAGACACAGGAUUCACAGCUUAAAGUUUCUCUUUCCAAAUAAGCCACUUAAUUGUUCUUUAUUCUAAAAUAAUGGCCAAAUGUGAAUAUUAUUAUUUCAGAAUACUUAGAAGAGGUCACAUGAGUUGAAAGAUAAAACUGCAGGCCUUUAUUAGUCAUGGGUUGUUUAAGUCAGAGAAGAUAUGUACAGUAUAUUCAAGGUACUAUUUUCCAUUCCCAUGACCAUGACAGUCAUAGAUAGUCAAUUGUGAUAUUCUUUCCCAUUGGAUCCAGAUGAGCUUCAUAGUUCUUUUCAAUUUGGUGUUCUAGUCAGGCACUGCUAAGUGCUCAGAACUAGUCUAUUUUCCAUGUUGCUGUAGGCACAGACAUGCUUAGAGGUUUGCCUGAGCCUUUUGAUCUAAAACCAUCCUUGAAACCCCAUUUUCUUUUCUAGGUGAUAUUCAAAACAAUUUUAUUCUCUUUAUUAUGCCUGACACUUAUUAACAAAAUAGCCUGUGUUAUUAAAAUUCAUGCAAAAUUAUGUAAACAUUCCAAAGAACAUGACAUUUGCACAGAAGCUGACAGACUCGGUACUUUGUUUUUUCUACAUCUUUGAGGAUAUUGUCGUUUCUGUUUGUAAGAAGACACAGUAGCCCUCCAGUAGUCAUUCGUGAAUUUCCCUCUUCAAAAGCAUAAUUGCUAUGCACUUACUUCCUGUACUUCUAAGAAUUAAUUUUAUUCUAGGGACCCAGUGAAGUCAAUCAUUUACUUUAGAGAAGAAAAUUUUUCUACUUUAUUGUUCAUUGUUACUAGCUCAGAAACCAGUUAUUUGUUUCAUAAAGUGUAAGGCACUGCUUUAAAUUGGAAUCUCACUUCUACACCAUAAUUGAGUUCUUGGCACUCAAUGUAACAAAGCAGUAUAAGACUGUAAAGUUGUUUUAGAGCUAGGAAUGAAUCAAUCACUCAAGGAAACUUUCUUGAAAUAAAUUUGCUUAUAUUCUCAACUUUAUUUCCCUUUUACUGUCAACCCUCAGCCUCUCUUCAUUCUGGUUUCCCUAGGGGGCAGGGGACUAUAGAGGGCAAAUGUAUAUGUUGGAAAUGUUAUUCUAAGUUAUUCCAUUACCUAAGUCUCAUUCUUCCCUGCAAAUGAGACCACUGAUGUGAUGGAAAAGAUAAUUAAAUUUUAAGUUAGAAGACAUUGUUGUAUUUGAAUCUUGGCCUGCCACUUUUUUCCUAGGUAAAUUUAGUUAUUACUCAAGACUUACUGGUUUUCAAGUAACAGAAACCCAAAUCACACUGGCUUUAGCAAAAAGAGGGGGUUUAGUUCAUAUAUCUAAGACUGAUUCUGGCUGGCUCCAGGUAUAGCUGGAUCAGCAUCCCAAGAACUAUUACAAGAAACUUAUUUCACCAUCUCUUUAGCUCUUCUUUCCUCUCCUUUGGUGUUAAUCUCAGAUCCUACAUGGGAGCACCCAAUGAAUUUAGGAUUUCUCUCUCUGUCUCUUUAUAGUUCAACAAGCCUCCAAGGAAGGAGACAUUUCCUUUCUUUAAUAAGACCUCCAAAGACCUUAGUACUGCACGUUGGCUUGACUUGUCUCCUGUGACCAUUCCCAAACCAAUCACUACAGCCACUGAGGAUGAAAUAGCCGAGUUUUCUUGCUUCUUGUCAGGAAAGAGAUCACUCAGUAAUCACCUCUAUAGUUAUUAUGGCUGUUUGUGGCUGAUGUAUUAUAUGCUGUUCCAGGGCUAUAUGCUGUGUAUUUCUGUUCCUUGGCUACCUGCUUAUCCUUAGAGUUAAGAAUGGGGGUGAUCUCUCCUGAACAUAAUGAUUUAGAAUUGGGUUGAUUCUCCAUAGGAAAAUUACACUAGGAGAAAAUAGAAUGAAUAUCUUUUUUUUUUUUUUUUCCAAGGAAAUGAUAUCACCACUUUGGGUCGUGUUUUUUCAUAUGUAAAACAGAAAAUAUGAAUCAGUUGUUCUUAUGAGUUGCUAAUACAUUCUAAUUUUCUGUGAAAAGAAAUAGUGCUCUG